UUUUAGGAAGCUUUGCUGAAGCGGUGGGCUUUUAACCCGAAGAAGCCUUAUAGGCUCUAAAAUC
rnacentral:tRNA from 1 species